rnacentral:rRNA from 1 species
UAGGGAAUCUUCGGCAAUGGGGGGAACCCUGACCGAGCAACGCCGCGUGAGUGAAGAAGGUUUUCGGAUCGUAAAGCUCUGUUGUUAAGGAAGAACGAGCGUGAGAAUGGAAAGUUCAUACUGUGACGGUACUUAACCAGAAAGGGACGGCUAACUACGUGCCAGCAGCCGCGGUAAUACGUAGGUCCCGAGCGUUGUCCGGCUUUAUUGGGCGUAAAGCGAGCGCAGGCGGUUAGCUAAGUCUGAAGUUAAAGGCAGGGGCUCAACCAAUGUAGGGUUUGGAAACUGUGUAACUUGGGUGCAGGAGGGGGGGGUGGAAUUCCAUGUGUAGCGUUGAAAUGCGUAGAUAUAUGGAGGAACACCGGUGGCGAAAGCGGCUCUCUGGGCUGGAACUGACGCUGAGGCUCGAAAGCGUGGGGAGCGAACAGG